AUUAUUUUCCCUCAAUAGGUUUUAGUAUUUCCCCCUCACAAAUUGAGACUCUCUCCAGAAUUUACUAAGUCUGGAAUUUUCCCAACUCCAUCCCUCAAUAGGUCUCUCGUUUCUCUUUCCCCCAAUUCCUUUCCCCGAUUCUUCCCUCAAUUCCCCCAAUUCGUUCUAUUUUCUAACUUCAGAUUCUUCUAUUUCUCCAGCUAGAAGAAUCGAGAUUCAAAUCAGAAAAAGUACAUGAAAUUCGUUUAGCAACUUCAAUAAUCUUCAGGUAGCCGAGGGAUCAAAAACUGCUGGUGAAGCUAUUGGAAUCGACGUCGACAAUUAGAUAUUUGAUAGGCAUCAGAUUUAGAAAGUGGUGCACCAUCAACAGUUGAGCCAAGAAGAUCUUUAUAUGAAAGUAACAAUGAUGAUCGUCCAAAUGUGAAUUAGUGAUUAUUUUGUAUGAUCAACUAUGAAUGUUUUGGAUAUUACUAUUGAAAUACACUUUGAAGCAUUAAUAUUUUGAUGAUGUAAUUUUGGAAUACUUGUGUUUUUUAUAUAUUGAAUAUUUUUCUUAUUUAA